GACCUCAAAUCAGGUAGGAGUACCCGCUGAACUUAGCAUAUCAAUAAGCGGAGGA
rnacentral:rRNA from 1 species